rnacentral:rRNA from 1 species
CCAGACUCCUACGGGAGGCAGCAGUGAGGAAUAUUGGUCAAUGGGCGGGAGCCUGAACCAGCCAAGUCGCGUGAGGGACGACGGUCCUAUGGAUUGUAAACCUCUUUUGUCGGGGAACAAAGGCGCCCACGGGUGGGCGGAUGAGUGUACCCGAAGAAAAAGCAUCGGCUAACUCCGUGCCAGCAGCCGCGGUAAUACGGAGGAUGCGAGCGUUAUCCGGAUUUAUUGGGUUUAAAGGGUGCGUAGGUGGUUAAUUAAGUCAGCGGUGAAAGUUUGUGGCUCAACCAUAAAAUUGCCGUUGAAACUGGUUGACUUGAGUAUAGUUGAGGUAGGCGGAAUGCGUGGUGUAGCGGUGAAAUGCAUAGAUAUCACGCAGAACUCCGAUUGCGAAGGCAGCAUACCGGCGCCCGACUAACGCUGAAGCACGAAAGCGUGGGUAUCGAACAGGAUUAGAUACCCCAGUA